GUGCUCACUUCAGCAGCACAUAUACUAAAAUUGGAACAAUACAGAGACAAAUAGCAUGGCCCUUUCACAAGGAUGACAUGAAAAUUCGUGAAGAGUUCCAUAUUUUU
ensembl:snRNA U6 U6 spliceosomal RNA